rfam:Bacillus circulans strain RIT379 contig1, whole genome shotgun sequence.
AUCCCUUUUAAAAGCAGUCCUGUGAGGCUGAAAAGGGGAGUUUUUUCCUAAGGUUUCUUUAAACCUGCUUAAAACCCCUUUUUUGCUGUGCAGAAAAGGGGUUUUAUU